rnacentral:lncRNA from 1 species
GAAGUGACUUCACAAUGACUCAAGCUACCAUAUACUGUUGAUUGUGAAAUGCCAGUUGAAGCAUAUGUCCUGUGAGCUUAGGGGUGCUACAGGUUGACCACUGCAGCAGUAAAGAUGACUCUGAAGAAUGGCAUGGGAUGGAUCCUUUCGAAUGCACUUGAGCAGCGGUCUCCAACCACAGGGCCACAGAGCUGGAGGUGAGCAGCAGCUGGAUCUACCAUGAACGACUUCUGAAUCCAGGAAGAGAGACUGACUGGGCAACAUGUUAUUCAGGAGAUGGGGUCUCACCCUGUCACCCAGGCUUGAGUACAGUAGUGCUAUCACAGCUCGCUGCAGCCUUGAACUCCUGGGCUAAGGAUCCUCCUACCUGAGCCUCCUGAGUAGCUGGGACUGUAGGUCUCCCUCUGUUGUCCAAGGCUGGAGUGUAGUAGUGCUAUCACAGCUGACUGCAGCCUCAACCUUCCAGG